CAACAUGCGAACUAAUCAGAAGCUUCUCCAUACUAUGGGUAGAAAGGGUUAUCCACGUGUGACUUAUGAAAUGAAGAAAAAGAAUCCACUUUUAAAAGGGUUAAGAACAGAAGUAUGGAAAUAUGGACAUCUCAGAAAAGAUGGAAAACCAAUUAAUGAAGCAGUUGCCGAAACAUUGAAAAAGAUUGAAGAUUGUGCCACAUCAAUUUCUGAUACGUCUGC